rnacentral:rRNA from 1 species
GUGUUAUUAUUAAGAUACGAAGUCGGACCUGCCCAGUGAAUUUUAAACGGCCGCGGUACUCUGACCGUGCAAAGGUAGCAUAAUCAUUUGCCUUAUAAUUGAAGGCUGGAAUGAAUGGUUUGACAAGAAUAUACCUGUCUCUUUUAGAUUAUAUAGAAUUUUAUUUCUGGGUGAAAAAGCCCAGAUGCAAUUAAAAGACAAGAAGACCCUAUCGAGCUUUAGAAAAAUUGAUAGAUUUAAUGUAUUUUGAUGUUAAUGAAAAAAAACUAUCAAACACUUUGAUUGGGGCAAUCAAGGAGCAGUUAAAGCCUCCUUUUCAAUAAUAAUAACUUCUACCUGUUUUGAUCCAGAAGUUUUGAUUAAAGAAAUUAGUUACCGUAGGGAUAACAGCAUUAUCUUUUUCAAGAGCCCAUAUCGAAAAAAAGGUUUGUGACCUCGAUGUUGGACCAGAAUAUCCCAAAGAUGCAGAAGUCUUUAAAGGUUGGUCUGUUCGACCAUUAAAAUUCUA